GCUUGUGCCUGAUAAUUCAUUUCUGAAGUGCUUCAAGAUUGACGCAUCAGAUUUGCACAAUGUGCCACUUUAGGAGAUUAUUUCUUCCUUCCUUCAGCCAGACAGAAGACUGCAGUAGGGAUAUGGUUCCUGUUUGCCUAUUUCCAUCCACAACUCUGCCAGAGACGAAAGCAGUGUUUGAAACAAUUCACCAAGAUUUCCAUCUGUAAUCAUCAAGAAUGGAACUGAUCAAAUUCCUUAAGAAAUUUACUUAAAGUCAUGAUUUUGACAGCCUAGUGCUAUCUGGAAAAGGGACAGCAGCAGCCUGGAGCAGUUUUCUAGCUAACAAGAAUUUUGUUAGCUAUGUGGCCACCUAGUGGCUCUUCCAUGGAUGUCGCUGAUGCGUUGUCAGGUACACAGACAAUUGCCCACUAAUAAAGAAGUUAUUAUCUU
rnacentral:antisense_RNA from 1 species